AAUUGUGACCAUACCAGCCUGUCACUGCCCGAUCUCAUUAGAUCUAGGAAGCUAAGCAGGUCUGGGCCUGGUUAGUAGUUGCAUGGGAGACCACUGAGAAAUCCAGGUGCAACAGUGG
ensembl:rRNA 5S_rRNA 5S ribosomal RNA